CAUAGGGGGUUGAACUCUAGCAGCUAGUUCACGCCACCUCUGGGCAUACUCCUUGAAGCUUUCAUUGGAUUUCUGACAUAGACUCUGCAGCUGAGUCCGGCUAGGCGCCAUGUCCAUGUUAUGCUUGUACUGUCUGAGGAACGCUUCACCCAGAUCUCUCCAGCAUCGGAUCGAAUCUCUCUUUAACUCCAUGUACCAGUCCAAAGAAGCCCCAGAUAGACUAUCUUGGAAAAAAU
rnacentral:lncRNA from 1 species